rnacentral:rRNA from 1 species
GAUGCACGCUUUCUUCUUUCCUAAUACAUGCAAGUCGAGCGAACAGAUGAGGAGCUUGCUCCUCUGACGUUAGCGGCGGACGGGUGAGUAACACGUGGAUAACCUACCUAUAAGACUGGGAUAACUUCGGGAAACCGGAGCUAAUACCGGAUAAUAUAUUGAACCGCAUGGUUCAAUAGUGAAAGACGGUUUUGCUGUCACUUAUAGAUGGAUCCGCGCCGCAUUAGCUAGUUGGUAAGGUAACGGCUUACCAAGGCAACGAUGCGUAGCCGACCUGAGAGGGUGAUCGGCCACACUGGAACUGAGACACGGUCCAGACUCCUACGGGAGGCAGCAGUAGGGAUUCUUCCGCAAUGGGCGAAAGCCUGACGGAGCAACGCCGCGUGAGUGAUGAAGGUCUUCGGAUCGUAAAACUCUGUUAUUAGGGAAGAACAAAUGUGUAAGUAACUAUGCACGUCUUGACGGUACCUAAUCAGAAAGCCACGGCUAACUACGUG